rnacentral:lncRNA from 1 species
UAAUAGAAAUUAAACUAAUUAAAGAUUUUAAUAGAUUAAUUAAGUUCAAAGAGAAAAUUACAGUUUAAUGUAUUUAUGCAUGGUUAUACUACAUUGCCACUAAAAUCAACUUACUGUAAAAAUUACAGCAAGAAAUGUUACAUACAUUUCAACUAUUCCAAACAAAUUCCAAGCAUUUCCAAAUAUUUCUAUGAAAGGCAAAAUGAAAAGGCAACAUCAAACAGGUUACUCGAAAUACAACACAC